rnacentral:rRNA from 1 species
AUACGUAGGGGGCAAGCGUUAUCCGGAUUUACUGGGUGUAAAGGGAGCGUAGACGGUUUGGCAAGUCUGAUGUGAAAGCCCGGGGCUCAACCGCGGGACUGCAUUGGAAACUGUCAGACUUGAGUGCAGGAGAGGUAAGUGGAAUUCCUAGUGUAGCGGUGAAAUGCGUAGAUAUUAGGAGGAACACCGGUGGCGAAGGCGGUUUACUGGACUGGAACUGACGUUGAGGCUCGAAAGCGUAGGGAGCAAACAGGAUUAGAUCCCCUGGUAGUCCACGCCGUAAACGAUGAAUACUAGGUGUUGGGAGACAAUAGUUUCUCGGUGCCGCAGCAAACGCAAUAAGUAUUCCACCUGGGGAGUACGUUCGCAAGAAUGAAACUCAAAUGAAUUGACGGGG